GAUAGUGCUUGCACUAUCACUUAGCGGCGGACGGGUGAGUAAUGCUUAGGAAUCUGCCUAUUAGUGGGGGACAACAUUUCGAAAGGAAUGCUAAUACCGCAUACGUCCUACGGGAGAAAGCAGGGGAUCUUCGGACCUUGCGCUAAUAGAUGAGCCUAAGUCGGAUUAGCUAGUUGGUGGGGUAAAGGCCUACCAAGGCGACGAUCUGUAGCGGGUCUGAGAGGAUGAUCCGCCACACUGGGACUGAGACACGGCCCAGACUCCUACGGGAGGCAGCAGUGGGGAAUAUUGGACAAUGGGCGCAAGCCUGAUCCAGCCAUGCCGCGUGUGUGAAGAAGGCCUUAUGGUUGUAAAGCACUUUAAGCGAGGAGGAGGCUACUUUAGUUAAUACCUAGAGAUAGUGGACGUUACUCGCAGAAUAAGCACCGGCUAACUCUGUGCCAGCAGCCGCGGUAAUACAGAGGGUGCAAGCGUUAAUCGGAUUUACUGGGCGUAAAGCGCGCGUAGGCGGCUAAUUAAGUCAAAUGUGAAAUCCCCGAGCUUAACUUGGGAAUUGCAUUCGAUACUGGUUAGCUAGAGUGUGGGAGAGGAUGGUAGAAUUCCAGGUGUAGCGGUGAAAUGCGUAGAGAUCUGGAGGAAUACCGAUGGCGAAGGCAGCCAUCUGGCCUAACACUGACGCUGAGGUGCGAAAGCAUGGGGAGCAAACAGGAUUAGAUACCCUGGUAGUCCAUGCCGUAAACGAUGUCUACUAGCCGUUGGGGCCUUUGAGGCUUUAGUGGCGCAGCUAACGCGAUAAGUAGACCGCCUGGGGAGUACGGUCGCAAGACUAAAACUCAAAUGAAUUGACGGGGGCCCGCACAAGCGGUGGAGCAUGUGGUUUAAUUCGAUGCAACGCGAAGAACCUUACCUGGCCUUGACAUAGUAAGAACUUUCCAGAGAUGGAUUGGUGCCUUCGGGAACUUACAUACAGGUGCUGCAUGGCUGUCGUCAGCUCGUGUCGUGAGAUGUUGGGUUAAGUCCCGCAACGAGCGCAACCCUUUUCCUUAUUUGCCAGCGAGUAAUGUCGGGAACUUUAAGGAUACUGCCAGU
rnacentral:rRNA from 1 species